AGAGUUUGUACUCCUGGCGUCAGGACGACGCUGGCGGCGCGCCUAACACAUGCAAGUCGAACGGGACGUAUGCGAGAUGAAGUUUUCGGUAUGGAAUUUUGUUAUAGUUUAGUGGCGGACGGGUGAGUAACACGUGAGCAACCUGCCUUCGAGAGGGGAAUAACGGCUGGAAACGGUCGCUAAUACCGCAUAACAUACGGAGGGACAUCCCUUUUGUAUCAAAGAUUUAUCGCUCGAAGAUGGGCUCGCGUCCGAUUAGGUAGUUGGUGAGGUAACGGCCCACCAAGCCGACGAUCGGUAGCCGGACUGAGAGGUUGAACGGCCACAUUGGGACUGAGACACGGCCCAGACUCCUACGGGAGGCAGCAGUGGGGGAGUAUUGCACAAUGGGGGAAACCCUGAUGCAGCGACGCCGCGUGUAGGAAGACGGUCCUCUGGAUUGUAAACUACUGUCCCCAGGGACGAAGAUGACGGUACCUGGGGAGGAAGCUCCGGCUAACUACGUG
rnacentral:rRNA from 1 species